rnacentral:rRNA from 1 species
GACGAACGCUGGCGGCGUGCUUAACACAUGCAAGUCGAACGGAAAGGCCCUGCUUUUGUGGGGUGCUCGAGUGGCGAACGGGUGAGUAACACGUGAGUAACCUGCCCUUGACUUUGGGAUAACUUCAGGAAACUGGGGCUAAUACCGGAUAGGAGCUCCUGCUGCAUGGUGGGGGUUGGAAAGUUUCGGCGGUUGGGGAUGGACUCGCGGCUUAUCAGCUUGUUGGUGGGGUAGUGGCUUACCAAGGCUUUGACGGGUAGCCGGCCUGAGAGGGUGACCGGCCAAAAUGGGACUGGGAUACGGCCCAGACUCCUACGGGAGGCAGCAGUGGGGAAUAUUGCAACAUGGGCGGAAGCCUGAUGCAGCAACGCCGGGGGGGGGAUGACGGCCUUCGGGUUGUAAACCGCUUUCGCCUGUGACGAAGCGUGAGUGACGGUAAUGGGUAAAGAAGCACCGGCUAACUACGUG